rnacentral:rRNA from 1 species
GACAGAGGUGCCGAGCGUUAGGCGGAAUCACUGGGCUUAAAGCGUGUGUAGGCGGACCGUUAAGUGUCUUGUGAAAUCCCCCGGCUCAACCGGGGAAUUGCUGGGCAUACUGGCGGUCUUGAGCAGUCUAGGGGCAGAUGGAACAGACGGUGGAGCGGUGAAAUGCGUAGAUAUCGUCUGGAACGCCAAAGGUGAAGACAGUCUGCUGGGGACUUGCUGACGCUGAGACACGAAAGCCAGGGGAGCGAACGGG